GACGAACGCUGGCGGCGUGCUUAACACAUGCAAGUCGAACGGAAAGGCCCUGCUUUUGUGGGGUGCUCGAGUGGCGAACGGGUGAGUAACACGUGAGUAACCUGCCCUUGACUUUGGGAUAACUUCAGGAAACUGGGGCUAAUACCGGAUAGGAGCUCCUGCUGCAUGGUGGGGGUUGGAAAGUUUCGGCGGUUGGCGAUGGACUCGCGGCUUAUCAGCUUGUUGGUGGGGUAGUGGCUUACCAAGGCUUUGACGGGUAGCCGGCCUGAGAGGGUGACCGGCCACAUUGGGACUGAGAUACGGCCCAGACUCCUACGGGAGGCAGCAGUGGGGAAUAUUGCACAAUGGGCGGAAGCCUGAUGCAGCAACGCCGCGUGCGGGAUGACGGCCUUCGGGUUGUAAACCGCUUUCGCCUGUGACGAAGCGUGAGUGACGGUAAUGGGUAAAGAAGCGCCGGCUAACUACGUG
rnacentral:rRNA from 1 species